rnacentral:rRNA from 1 species
AUUGAACGCUGGCGGCAGGCCUAACACAUGCAAGUCGAGCGGCAGCGGGAAAGUAGCUUGCUACUUUUGCCGGCGAGCGGCGGACGGGUGAGUAAUGCCUGGGAAAUUGCCCAGUCGAGGGGGAUAACAGUUGGAAACGACUGCUAAUACCGCAUACGCCCUACGGGGGAAAGCAGGGGACCUUCGGGCCUUGCGCGAUUGGAUAUGCCCAGGUGGGAUUGGCUAGUUGGUGAGGUAAUGGCUCACCAAGGCGACGAUCCCUAGCUGGUCUGAGAGGAGGAUAAGCCAGAGUGGAACUGAGGCACGGUCCAGACUCCUACGGGAGGCAGCAGUGGGGAAUAUUGCACAAUGGGGGAAACCCUGAUGCAGCCAUGCCGCGUGUGUGAAGAAGGCCUUCGGGUUGUAAAGCACUUUCAGCGAGGAGGAAAGGUUGAUGCCUAAUACGUAUCAACUGUGACGUUACUCGCAGAAGAAGCACCGGCUAACUCCGUGCCAGCAGCCGCAGUAACAC